GACGUAGGGCGCGAGCGUUGUCCGGAUUUAUUGGGCGUAAAGAGCUCGUAGGCGGCUUGUCGCGUCGAAUGUGAAAACUUGGGGCUCAACUCCAAGCUUGCAUUCGAUACGGGCAGGCUAGAGUUCGGUAGGGGAGACUUGAAUUCCUGGUGUAGCGGUGAAAUGCGCAGAUAUCAGGAGGAACACCGGUGGCGAAGGCGGGUCUCUGGGCCGAAAUUGACGCUGAGGAGCGAAAGCGUGGGGAGCAAACAGG
rnacentral:rRNA from 1 species